CCUACGGGCGGCAGCAGUGGGGAAUAUUGGUCAAUGGGCGCAAGCCUGACCCAGCAACGCCGCGUGAAGGAAGAAGGCUUUCGGGUUGUAAACUUCUUUUCUCAGGGACGAAGCAAGUGACGCGACCUGAGGAAUAAGCCACGGCUAAAUACGGGCCAGCAGCCGCGGUGAUACGUAGGUGGCAAGCGUUAUCCGGAUUUAGUGGGUGUAAAGGGCGUGUAGGCGGGGACGCAAGUCAGAUGUGAAAACCAUGGGCUCAACCUGUAGACUGCAUUUGAAACUGUGUUUCUUGAGUACUGGAGAGGCAGACGGAAUUCCUAGUGUAGCGGUGAAAUGCGUAGAUAUUAGGAGGAACACC
rnacentral:rRNA from 1 species